rnacentral:piRNA from 1 species
UGGUGUCUUUAAUCGGGUUUUCCAAAGC